AAAUUGAAGAGUUUGAUCAUGGCUCAGAUUGAACGCUGGCGGCAGGCCUAACACAUGCAAGUCGAACGGUAACAGAAAGCAGCUUGCUGCUUUGCUGACGAGUGGCGGACGGGUGAGUAAUGUCUGGGAAACUGCCUGAUGGAGGGGGAUAACUACUGGAAACGGUAGCUAAUACCGCAUAAUGUCGCAAGACCAAAGAGGGGGACCUUCGGGCCUCUUGCCAUCGGAUGUGCCCAGAUGGGAUUAGCUUGUUGGUGGGGUAACGGCUCACCAAGGCGACGAUCCCUAGCUGGUCUGAGAGGAUGACCAGCCACACUGGAACUGAGACACGGUCCAGACUCCUACGGGAGGCAGCAGUGGGGAAUAUUGCACAAUGGGCGCAAGCCUGAUGCAGCCAUGCCGCGUGUAUGAAGAAGGCCUUCGGGUUGUAAAGUACUUUCAGCGGGGAGGAAGGGAGUAAAGUUAAUACCUUUGCUCAUUGACGUUACCCGCAGAAGAAGCACCGGCUAACUCCGUGCCAGCAGCCGCGGUAAUACGGAGGGUGCAAGCGUUAAUCGGAAUUACUGGGCGUAAAGCGCACGCAGGCGGUUUGUUAAGUCAGAUGUGAAAUCCCCGGGCUCAACCUGGGAACUGCAUCUGAUACUGGCAAGCUUGAGUCUCGUAGAGGGGGGUAGAAUUCCAGGUGUAGCGGUGAAAUGCGUAGAGAUCUGGAGGAAUACCGGUGGCGAAGGCGGCCCCCUGGACGAAGACUGACGCUCAGGUGCGAAAGCGUGGGGAGCAAACAGGAUUAGAUACCCUGGUAGUCCACGCCGUAAACGAUGUCGACUUGGAGGUUGUGCCCUUGAGGCGUGGCUUCCGGAGCUAACGCGUUAAGUCGACCGCCUGGGGAGUACGGCCGCAAGGUUAAAACUCAAAUGAAUUGACGGGGGCCCGCACAAGCGGUGGAGCAUGUGGUUUAAUUCGAUGCAACGCGAAGAACCUUACCUGGUCUUGACAUCCACGGAAGUUUUCAGAGAUGAGAAUGUGCCUUCGGGAACCGUGAGACAGGUGCUGCAUGGCUGUCGUCAGCUCGUGUUGUGAAAUGUUGGGUUAAGUCCCGCAACGAGCGCAACCCUUAUCCUUUGUUGCCAGCGGUCCGGCCGGGAACUCAAAGGAGACUGCCAGUGAUAAACUGGAGGAAGGUGGGGAUGACGUCAAGUCAUCAUGGCCCUUACGACCAGGGCUACACACGUGCUACAAUGGCGCAUACAAAGAGAAGCGACCUCGCGAGAGCAAGCGGACCUCAUAAAGUGCGUCGUAGUCCGGAUUGGAGUCUGCAACUCGACUCCAUGAAGUCGGAAUCGCUAGUAAUCGUGGAUCAGAAUGCCACGGUGAAUACGUUCCCGGGCCUUGUACACACCGCCCGUCACACCAUGGGAGUGGGUUGCAAAAGAAGUAGGUAGCUUAACCUUCGGGAGGGCGCUUACCACUUUGUGAUUCAUGACUGGGGUGAAGUCGUAACAAGGUAACCGUAGGGGAACCUGCGGUUGGAUCAC
rnacentral:rRNA from 1 species